CGCUUUCAUGGCAUUCUUUACUUGGCAUUUAGGGAUUUUAAUAGUCUUAUUUCUUCCUAGAACUCAUUUAGUUGGAUCCUUUUGUGUUCCUUGAGUUGGUAAUUCAUUGCUUUUUUUAAACAUAUUGCUUAUGUAUUUGGCUUGUCUUAGAAUCUUCCAGGUUACUGCUUCAAGUAAAAGAUGGAGAAGGAGGCAGUUGGGUCCCCUCUUUUACCACCACCACCUCACCCUUGCAAGCACCUAAGUGCUGCCACCCAUGCCACUAGGCCAUAAGGAAGGCCAUUGGCUUUCCCCUUUAUUGUGUUUCUCAAAAUUAUCUUCCGCUAGAGAGUCCUCUGCCACCAACAUUCCAAGGCACUGACCUGGAAUUUGCAUUACCACUAUCCUCUGUUUUUGUACAAAGCUCCCGCAGAAAAAGGUUUUCGUAGUUUUAUGAUAGACUUCCUCAUGGGAGGAGUUUCUGCUGCUGUAUCCAAGACUGCUGCUGCUCCGAUAGAGUGCACUAAGCUAUCGAUUCAAGCUGGUCGGCUAUCUGAACCAUACAAAGGAAUUUCUGACUGCUUUGCCCGAACAAUUAAGGAUGAAGGCAUUAUUGCUUUGUGGAGAAGCAACACUAUCAAUGUUAUCAGAUAUUUCCCAGCCCAGGUUAGCUUAUCUUUUGUUUAUAUUUGUUAAUCUUGCCAUUUCUUUUGUUUUAAAUAAUUUUGUCUGAACAAUGUUACUUUUGAUAUUUCCCCAAGUAUUUAGGGAUUACAUAUUAGUUCUAUAGUACCAGAAUGCCUGUUUGAGACUUCAUUUCAUGUUAUGUGUGCUUGAGCUUAUAUACUACAGUUUAUAUUUGCCUUUUUGGUGAGAAAAAUAAAUAUGACAUUGUUUUAAUUAU